rnacentral:rRNA from 1 species
ACGACCAUACCUACCAGAAAAUACGGGAUCCCGUCCGCUCUCCCAUGGUCAAGCUGGUAAGGGGCGGAUUAGUAGUUGGGUCGGUGACGACCAGCGAAUCCCCGCUGUUGUAUGUC